ACUCUAGUAAAAGAAUGUCCAAAUCAAUUGAGCUUUAGCAAGGGCAAACUGACUGGACACAGCCAGACUCCCAGCAAAAGUAGGCCAAGCUUGAUAAAUUUGCCCUUAUUAUAGCUAUUGAUGUUUAAAUUUCUUCAGGGAUGUUGUUACAUGGGUGCCUAGUGGUGACAGAGCUGUCAGCAAUUGAAUCCCCUUAGAUAUGGAAGAAGUUCAGAUUUCCUGAUCCUAAAUUCACUCUCCUUUUGGACACAUGCAGAUCAGUCUCUACCUGUCCCAGACUGAGAUGUAAUGUGGCUGUAGACUGUAACUGUUUACAGAAGUGGGAGCCUUCAAUAGCUGCCUCUUCAUUGCCUGGUUUGGAGACUGACUCAGAAAAUAAGACAUUAAGCUUUAAAGCUAGCUGAAAAAUAAAGGGUGGAGAUGUGAAA